rnacentral:rRNA from 1 species
GGUUUCGCAUGGGACUGAGGUCAAAGGAGCAAUCCGGUAGAAGGUGGGCUCGCGUCCCAUUAGAUAGUUGGUGAGGUAACGGCUCACCAAGUCGACGAUGGGUAGCCGACCUGAGAGGGUGAUCGGCCACAUUGGAACUGAGAUACGGUCCAGACUCCUACGGGAGGCAGCAGUGGGGAAUAUUGGGCAAUGGGCGAAAGCCUGACCCAGCAACGCCGCGUGAGGGAAGAAGGUCUUCGGGUUGUAAACCUCUGUCCUUGGUGAAAAGGAAGGAUGGUAGCCAAGGAGGAAGCCCCGGCUAACUACGUGCCAGCAGCCGCGGUAAUACGUAGGGGGCGAGCGUUGUCCGGAAUGAUUGGGCGUAAAGGGCGUGUAGGCGGUUUUUUAAGUCUGGAGUGAAAGUCCCGUUUUCAAGAUGGGAAUUGCUUUGGAAACUGGAGAACUUGAGUGCAGGAGAGGUUAUCGGAAUUCCCGGUGUAGCGGUGAAAUGCGUAGAGAUCGGGAGGAACACCAGUGGCGAAGGCGGGUAACUGGACUGCAACUGACGCUGAGGCGCGAAAGUGUGGGGAGCAAACAGGAUUAGAUACCCUGGUAGUCCACACUGUAAACGAUGAAUGCUAGGUGUAGGGGGGUAUCGACCCCUUCUGUGCCGCAGUCAACACAAUAAGCAUUCCGCCUGGGGAGUACGGCCGCAAGGUUGAAACUCAAAGGAAUUGACGGGGGCCCGCACAAGCAGCGGAGCAUGUGGUUUAAUUCGACGCAACGCGAAGAACCUUACCAGGUCUUGACAUCCAGGUAAAGCACCAGAGAUGGUGUGUGUGCUUGCACAAUCUGAGACAGGUGGUGCAUGGUUGUCGUCAGCUCGUGUCGUGAGAUGUUGGGUUAAGUCCCGCAACGAGCGCAGCCCUUGUUUAUAGUUACUAACAUGUAGUGGUGAGGACUCUAUAGAGACUGCCGGGGACAACUCGGAGGAAGGUGGGGACGACGUCAAAUCAUCAUGCCCCUUAUGACCUGGGCUACACACGUGCUACAAUGGCCGUCACAAAGAGGAGCGAGCCUGUAAGGGUAAGCAGAUCUCAAAAAAGCGGUCUCAGUUCGGAUUGUGGGCUGCAACCCGCCCACAUGAAGUCGGAGUUGCUAGUAAUCGCGGAUCAGCAUGCCGCGAUGAAUACGUUCCCGGGCCUUGUACACACCGCCCGUCACAC